GCGUGCGUGGUGGAGAAGCAGGGCACGUGCAUUACCAUCCAUUGACGCAUGCCGCCGCCAUGGAUGGUUCUUCAUGUGCCCGUCUUCUCCACCCAGCACCA
rnacentral:pre_miRNA from 1 species